rnacentral:rRNA from 1 species
AGUGAACGCUGGCGGUAGGCCUAACACAUGCGAGUCGAACGGCAGCACAGUAAGAGCUUGCUCUUACGGGUGGCGAGUGGCGGACGGGUGAGGAAUACAUCGGAAUCUACUUUUUCGUGGGGGAUAACGUAGGGAAGCUUACGCUAAUACCGCAUACGACCUACGGGUGAAAGCAGGGGAUCUUCGGACCUUGCGCGAUUGAAUGAGCCGAUGUCGGAUUAGCUAGUUGGCGGGGUAAAGGCCCACCAAGGCGACGAUCCGUAGCUGGUCUGAGAGGAUGAUCAGCCACACUGGAACUGAGACACGGUCCAGACUCCUACGGGAGGCAGCAGUGGGGAAUAUUGGACAAUGGGCGCAAGCCUGAUCCAGCCAUACCGCGUGGGUGAAGAAGGCCUUCGGGUUGUAAAGCCCUUUUGUUGGGAAAGAAAAGCAGCAGGUUAAUACCCCGCUGCUCUGACGGUACCCAAAGAAUAAGCACCGGCUAACUUCGUG